GACGAACGCUGGCGGCGUGCCUAAUACAUGCAAGUAGAACGCUGAAGGAGGAGCUUGCUUCUCUGGAUGAGUUGCGAACGGGUGAGUAACGCGUAGGUAACCUGCCUGGUAGCGGGGGAUAACUAUUGGAAACGAUAGCUAAUACCGCAUAAGAGUAGAUGUUGCAUGACAUUUGCUUAAAAGGUGCAAUUGCAUCACUACCAGAUGGACCUGCGUUGUAUUAGCUAGUUGGUGGGGUAACCGCUCACCAAGGCGACGAUACAUAGCCGACCUGAGGGGGGGGUCGGCCACACUGGGACUGAGACACGGCACAGAGGCAUACGGGAGGCAGCAGUAGGGAAUCGUCGGCAAGGGACGGAAGACUGACCGAGAAACGCCGCGUGAGGGAAGAAGGGUGUCGGAUCGUAAAGCUCGGUUGUAAGAGAAGAACGAGUGUGAGAGUGGAAAGUUCACACUGUGACGGUAUCUGACCAGAAAGGGACGGCUAACUACGUG
rnacentral:rRNA from 1 species